GAGGAAGACUUCGCUCAAUCGUCCCUUUCCACACCCAGGGUACUGGUUUAAGAGAGAAAAUUCUCUGCCAAUGAGGACAUACUAACAUAUGAAUUUGGGAUGUGAUAUGAUCAAGCUUCAAAUUUCAUAAGGAUAUAUUAAAACACAAAUUUACAGAGGAAAAUAAUCCAAUGACAGUCAAAGUCAAAUACAUUUUUGGCAGAUGUAUGAGGACAUACAUAAUAAAGAUGACUGAUAAAUAUUUCCCAUGUUAUCUUAAUAGACAGUAAAUAAUAAUGGAAAUAUUUAGCAAUCCUAUUCACACUGAAAAAUUCCAAAAGCAUGCUGAACACUAGCAAAAAGAAUUCAAACAUGAAAAAUAAGAAAGCGAGCAAGUUGGAAAAGAUACCUAGCAAGAAUUCAGUGACUAUAAAAAGCAGAUCAUUUUUAAUAUGCCACUCUAAACAAUGCCUUCUACUGACAGAGGGAUUUUGAAAUUUUCCAGACUGAUAAAACCUAACAGUGUUGCUUUUGCUUAUUUUUUUUCAAGUUCUAAUCUCUCACCCUAAAUUUCUCUUCGCUGAAAAAUCUACAUUUUUUGUCUAUUUUCCCUCUCAGUUACGUAUCUACAUAGAAAAUAUAAUCUUUAUUUUAUUUUACGGGACCUUCAAGAAGAAUGAAUUACUCAUAUUCUUUGAAGAAUAUAUUUGUUAAAUCUGAAACGUCGUUCAUUAAUCACAAAACUGUAAUUAUGAGGUGACAAGGACACUGGAACUUUGGUUAUGGCAGUCAAGCAGAAAAAGAUCAUGAAAUUGAUUUCUCAUUCUGUCUCACUGGGAAAGAAGGGAUAAGUGUGAGUUUUGUGAGAGAAUGAACACUGAGAUCAUGAAUACCGCACAUCAUACUCUCCCCACCAAGAAGAAUCCCUGCUUUCUCCAAACCAGGGCAAUUAGCAAGAAAAAUCUUAAGAUUGGCGCCUUCCUCUGACAACUGCCUUUCCCUUCAACAACUGCCAUUACCACUGCCACUGUUUUUACUUUAAGUUCUGAUACUAAUGUGGGUGUUGGUAUGUAUGAGAGUGGGAAAAAAAGAAAGGCUGGGAAACAAAUGAGUAAGAACUGGGUAUUGAGAAUGUUUUGUUAUUAUGAUUCAUAUACUGUAAGCUUCAAUGAGGUUCAGUAAAUAUAACAUAGCUAAUUGAUACAAAAUAAUAUGUUAUAGAACCUAAAUGAAUCCUUUCAAAGAUUACUUGACAUUUUGUCACAGGAGAAGGAUAAAGAUUUUACAUCAAAUCAUGAAUUCCAGUUCUCAAAAUUGAGUUCUAAUGUGUUUACAACUACAAUAUCCCAUCAUUAUAGAAGGCAAAUUAGGUAGAAAUUUUACAAAAUCAAAGCUUUGUUCUGCUAUUCUAAUUAAGUUUUAUUUGUGUUUCAUUCUAUGGGCAUAUUAAGAGAGAAAUAACACAGCAUGAACAAUGCAAAAAGUAAAAUAUCAACCCAGAUGGAAAGAAUAAAUGGUACUAAUAAAAAGAACAUUCAGAAUGAAUAUAUUUAUAGAGUAUAGAAAAGUACUAAAUACAGUACCUACAUUAGGAGGGGUCAAAUCUGCAUUUCAUGAAGCAAAACAGGAAAGUAUUAUAUAUUAUGAGACAGAUAACGAUAGACCACACAAAAGACAAAUAACGAACACUGUAAUUUUUUUCAUGUACACUAAAAACCUUAAAAAGAGAACAAUACUAGAGUCAAACUGGACCUUUCAAAGGAGAAAAACACCUACAAAUAAUUAUUUUAUUCUAAUAGAUAAUUCAUUGUCCAUGUUGGUGGUAGAGCUGUUAUGUGAUCAUUUAUGAGAAUAUUUUAAAUGUAUGAUAGUUUUCACUAACCUCUUAUGGAGAAAUAAAAGAUUUACCCCAGCAUUCUCUUUUAACCAAAACCAGCAACCACCUUCCAUAAUUUUAAUUUUUCAAUAGAUACACAUACCUACACACACUAAAUUGCAUUUCCCACCACAAUCCCCUAUCUCUGACAGUGAAGUAAGACAAUACCAUAAGAAGAUAAAUAUAGCAAGUCAAUUAAAGGCAGAAAGAACGCACCUUCCAGUAAAUUCAUAUCGAUGUCAUUAUUAUUCGGCUUGUGCAGGCACGGGUAUGUGUUAAACAAAUUAGCUACAAAAGCUAAAUUAAGUUUAGGAUUGCCUGAAACCACAUCUGCAGGAGUAACAAACUGUUUGCAGCCCAGUUUAUCUGCUUCUUGAAGCAUGAGUCCAGCACGCUUCAGGUCAUUUGUCUCCUAAACAAUAAAACAAAAAUGGUUACAAUUGAAGUUUUAAUUGGCAUAAUUUUUAUUGGUAUACAUGUUUAUAAGCAAUUACUUUUCCACAAAUAUAUCAAAUAAUAACUCAAAAUAAGAUCAAAAUGUGUAGUAAUUCCAAGUCAACUUACCCAUUCCUUUAUUUAUUUAUUUAUUUAUUUAUUUAUGUAUUUAGAGACAGAGUCUUGCUCUGUUCCCCAGGCUGGAGUGCAGUGGCGUGAUCUUGGCUCACUGCAACCUCUGCCUCUUAGGUUCAAGUGAUUCUCCUCCCUCAGCCCCUGAGUAGCUGGGAUUACAGACACAUGCCACUAUGCCCAGCUAAUUUUUGUAUUUUUAGUAAAGACAGGGUUUUGCCAUGUUGGCCAGGCUGGUUUCGAACUCCUGAUCCGCCCACCUCGGCCUCCCAAAGUGCUGGGAUUAUAGCCGUGAGCCACUAAGCCCAGCCCCCGUGCCUUUUAAGUUAAAAGGAAAAAAGUCUCUGAAUUUCCUUGCUGGGAUAACUGAGUUAUAUUUUACCCUUUUUGCUAAAAUACUCAGCAAAAUCCUCAAAUAUUGUAUCAGUAAGCUCCUACUGGUUGCACUAUAGAUAACUUAUUCAAGACCAGCUAGUAGAGUGCCCUCUGGAUAACAGGCAUAGUUAUCAUACCCACUGUACACUGAGUGACAUUUCCAGAAGGCUCUUCUUGAUGAAAAACAAGUUGAAAUACAUAUUUUAAAAAUUAAAAUCAUAGGGAAAAGCACCUUUCACAAUUGCAAAACCCUGGAAACAAAUGAAACAACCCAAAUACCUAUAAACAGGAGAGUAGAUGAAUGAAUUUGUAUAUUCACACAAUGACAUCCAAUAUGGGUAACUCUUAGAGAUACAAGGCCAAAAAGAAGUACUAGAAAUUUAAGUAUAACAUGAUAAACUUUAAAGGAAGUUAAAAAGUAAAAUGAAGAAUUUAAUUUUGUAAGGGAUACAUUUGGAUGAAGGGAAACUACAUAAAAAGAAAAGCAGAACAACAAUGAACACAAGAUUCAAGACUGUGGUUACCACACUGGGCGAAAACCGAGGUGGGAUAGGGAAGAACUGUACAGAAAAUGUCACGUCAAAGUUUUAGUUUUCCUGUUAGAUUGAGAGUUCAUGAGGCUUGUUACAAUUUCAAAACAAACAACCACACACAAAAAUAAAUUUAAAAAUGGGUAUGCACAGACCCAUAUGAGUAUAUCAUGACCAAAGAUAACCUACCUAAUUCUGUGCACCAGAGUUGCAAAAUAAUUAAUCAUAUAAAUGAAAUCAGAGAAAGCAACAGAUUAUUAAAUUAACAAAGAAAAGUUACCAUUGUAGACAUCAAAAAAUGACAAUAUGUGGCUGGACGUGGUGGCUCAUGCCUGUAAUCCCAGCACUUUGGGAGGCAGAGGCAGGCGGAUCACUUGAGGUCAGGAGUUUGAUACCAGCCUAGCCAACAUGGUGAAACCCCGUCUCUACUAAAAACACAAAAAUUAACCAGGUGUGGUGGUGUGCACCUGUAAUCCCAGCUACUCAGGAAGUGGAGGUAGGAGAAUCACUUGAGCCCAGGAGGCGGAGGUUGCCAUGAGCCAAGAUUGUGUCACUGCACUCCAGCCUGGGCGACAG
rnacentral:lncRNA from 1 species